GACGAACGCUGGCGGCGUGCCUAAUACAUGCAAGUCGAGCGCAGGAAAUCGACGGAACCCUUCGGGGGGAAGUCGACGGAAUGAGCGGCGGACGGGUGAGUAACACGUAAAGAACCUGCCCUCAGGUCUGGGAUAACCACGAGAAAUCGGGGCUAAUACCGGAUGGGUCAUCGGACCGCAUGGUCCGAGGAUGAAAGGCGCUUCGGCGUCGCCUGGGGAUGGCUUUGCGGUGCAUUAGCUAGUUGGUGGGGUAAUGGCCCACCAAGGCGACGAGGCAUAGCGGGCCUGAGAGGGGGAUCGGCCACACUGGGACUGAGACACGGCCCAGACUCCUACGGGAGGCAGCAGUAGGGAAUCUUCCACAAUGGACGAAAGUCUGAUGGAGCAACGCCGCGUGAACGAUGAAGGCCUUCGGGUCGUAAAGUUCUGUUGUAAGGGAAGAACAAGUGCCGCAGGCAAUGGCGGCACCUUGACGGUACCUUGCGAGAAAGCCACGGCUAACUACGUGCCAGCAGCCGCGGUAA
rnacentral:rRNA from 1 species